ensembl:lncRNA
GCAGCCCGUCCAUCGACCGGGCUCUGCAGACCGGGCUGCAUAUCAUGUCGUAUGAUAUCCAGAUCUUCCAUGUUCUAGUGACUAAAGGACUUCGUUGAGUCCACUGCCACCAGCCCCCCCCCCCACCUCUCCCUCAUGCUCCUCCACCCCAGGCACCUCUUCCACCACCCCAGACACCCCUUCCAAGAGGAGAGCGCCAGGGAGCAGGCGAGGCAUGAGGAGAGCGAGGCAAAGUUGGCGGAAUGGUUGAGAAGAU